rnacentral:lncRNA from 1 species
GAAUGUGUUCUGGCAAUGUACCUGCUUGUACAGUUAUGGGCGCUCCAAACUUUGCGAGUCUUGAUUAGGCUAUAAUGGGGCAUCAUUAUUGCAAAUUUACUACCAUUUUGGUAAGCCAACAAUUGUCUAUUGUUAGUGCUUCACUCAUCUUAUUCUAGAAGCUCCUCCUGUCCAAAUUAUAAGAGGACGUCUGAUUCCUGGGGCUGAUCUGGUUCGUGCAAACGACCAUGGUUGCUUGUACGAUAUGCAUCUUGCCCCCUGCACAAUCUUGACUGUAAUCUGCUG